CUACGGGUUGCACCAGUGAGGAAUAUUGCACAAUGGGGGGAACCCUGAUGCAGCAACGCCGCGUGGAGGAUGACGCAGUUCGGGGUGUAAACUCCUUUUAUAUGUCAAGAAAAUGACGGUAGCAUAUGAAUAAGCACCGGCUAACUCCGUGCCAGCAGCCGCGGUAAUACGGAGGGUGCAAGCGUUACUCGGAAUCACUGGGCGUAAAGGACGCGUAGGCGGGUUGGAAAGUCAGGUGUGAAAUCCUACAGCUUAACUGUAGAACUGCACUUGAAACUUCUAAUCUAGAGUAUGGGAGGGGGAGAUGGAAUUAGUGGUGUAGGGGUAAAAUCCGUAGAUAUCACUAGGAAUACCUAAAGCGAAGGCGAUCUCCUGGAACAUUACUGACGCUAAGGCGUGAAAGCGUGGGGAGCAAACAGGAUUAGAUACCCCGGUAGUC
rnacentral:rRNA from 1 species